CCCUCCCCUGCCCCGCCGCCUCCCCGGGACGCGGAGCGGGCGGCGGCGCCGCGGUGCCGGCGGGGACCCGGAUGUUCGGGGGGCGGGGGCGGGGCGGGGCGGGGACAGCGGCAGCGGAGCUCCGGCCUCUCCCUCACGCUCCUCCCGCCGCCGCCGCGGCACCGAGUGGCUCUCUGCCUUCAGCGCUGGUCCCAGCGCGAGGUGUUGCCGUGGGCAGGGGGCUGCGUUGUGCCGCUGGCUCCCCGGGCAGCCCCAGCCCUGCAGGAAGCACCUCGCAUCCAAGAGAAUUACUGCUGACCUACUGAAUAGAACUGCUGAAUCAAUGAAGUCAUGGUUUUUCUGAUCCAUGUACAGUUUGUGCCUCACAAUAUCCAAUGAAAGUAAGUUUAGUUUAUUAUUACGAAAAGAAAAGCAUGUCUUCCAAUAUUUGUAUUGUGAAAACUAGUGAGUAACUAUUACCAGGUCACCUUUUGAAUAAAGUUCAUUACUUGAUACAUCACUCUCAUAUUCUCUCGAUAUUUUUCUAGUACCUUUUGAUAACCUUUCUGAUAAUGGAAUUACUAAAGCUGCAAAUAGUAUUUAUAAUGUGUUUGUGGCCUGAGUGUUUACAGGGCAGAUUUUUCAUAUUUUCUCUGUUAAUUUUACAAUAAAACCCAGAUAUGUUUGUUCCUUUAGCAAGGUAUGUUUGUUCCUAAGCACCAGAUGUUUUCAGAUUUCUUUCCUGAUGAUACUAAUACCCCAUAUAUAUACAUAUAUGUGUAUUUUCUCUUUCCUUCCUGAUGUGCAUUGCAUUUAAUGACAAUGAAUAGCCUCUGGCAUUGUAUCACCCAUUCAGUAUUGAACUACCUCCAAAGCUCUUCAUAGCCAGCCCUAGAUUUCCUCAGCCUAAUAGUUUUGUGUCAUUGAUUUUUUCCUUUGUUUUACUAUGUGUGUUCCUUUUCACAUUGUUUAUGAAUAUAUUGAAAGCCCACAUCUGUCAGCUGAGCCUAGGUCAGUGAAUCCUGAAAAAGUAUACAAGCAAUAUAAAAUUCAACUUAUAAAAAUAAAUCAACCUUUUUACUUCUUACUAAAAUGAAUUUUGCCAUUUUGGUUUUAUUAUUUAUUUAUUACAUAAUUAGAUGUAUUUUUAAUUUGUUUUCACAAGGCAGUUCUGCUUUUCAAAGCACUUACAGGGUAGUGGAAGUAGAAGACAAUAGAAAUUCACUGCUUUCUGAUAACUGAAAUAUCACACAUGUUGACGUUAAUGACUAACAUUUUUAUUUCAUACUUCACUGUAUGGGAUUUUAGCACAUACGGACUAUUGAGGGUGAAUGUCAGGAAAGAACUGCAUAAAGGAAACUGUUCCUUUUGUUUCUUUAAUGUUAGCAUGUAAAGAUUGUCUUUGACUGUCUACAAUCUCCUAUUGGCUUAAUCCACUAUACUUACUUAUUAAGCUAUGAAUACCUGCAAAUCCUUUAAAGGAUUAACUGUAUCUGCCUGCUAAGCUGUCCAAGGCAGUUAAAAAUAACUGCAGGCUGAUUCUACUGACACACUAAAAAUUGGACCUGCUCUACAUUUUAUGUUGUAUUUGCUGCUGCUUUGACAGAUGUGGUACAGUCUGGAGGUACUUAAACCUCUACGAAGUUGGGUUGACCAAGAGCUCUCAACACCCCAGUUCUGACUAGCAGCUGUUUUUCCUUACAGCCCACAGAGGAUCAGCAUUUGCUUUGUCUCAUGAAAAAUGCUAAUGACCAAGAACAUACAAGGUGGAAAAAGAAAUCCUGCUUAAUAUCAGUUCACUAAAUAAAGGUGUCCUCUGAAGAAAAGGCUUUGAUUUAUGCAAGUGGUCUGCAGUGCAGUCCUUUUUGUUUGAUUUUUUUUUUCUAGCUGUACUCACUGACUUCAGAAAAUGUCUCUUUUCCAGAUUUACAAAAUUUUAAUAUUCUAAUACAGUACAAGCAUGUAUGCUGGAUGCUGCUAGGUAUUGUUAGGAAGGCAGCCAAACAUAGGGGAUUCAUCACAGUGGAAGCCUUACAGGGAAUGCACAGUUUCUCUCGAUGGGCCAGAGAGUGCAUGAGACAGCAGCACAUUAAAAUGUGUACUGACUACCUCUAUUCCUGGCUGUAAAAGAAGAAGAGUUG
rnacentral:lncRNA from 1 species